UACGUAGGGUGCGAGCGUUGUCCGGAUUUAUUGGGCGUAAAGGGCUCGUAGGCGGCCUGUCGCGUCGGGGAGUGAAAGCCCACUGCUUAACGGUGGGUCUGCUUCCGGUACGGGCGGGCUGGAGUAUGGCAGGGGAGACUGGAAUUCCUGGUGUAGCGGUGGAAUGCGCAGAUAUCAGGAGGAACACCGGUGGCGAAGGCGGGUCUCUGGGCCAUUACUGACGCUGAGGAGCGAAAGCGUGGGGAGCGAACAGG
rnacentral:rRNA from 1 species